GUCGAACUAUUCCUGAGUAUAGUCAUAAUUACUGAAUCAAGUAAACUACCAGUACUUCUUAAUGCUUGUUGGUGACAAACUUUACCUGAGUAUAGUUAUAACUCCUGCUCGAUGUCAAUUCAAUUAAUUUCUAGGUAAAGUAAUAAUUCCUGAAUCAUGACAAAAAUCGUAGAGAGUACUAAUACAGAAAUCAUAUUUCAAAGGAAGAACACAUGUUUGCAUGUGUUUAUCUCCACAGUUGAGCUGUAAACCACACGUAAGUAUCACACCUGAGAAAACGGUCAAGAUGGCAUCAAACUUUGAAUAUCUGCUGAUUAUUUUUUCAUUUUUUUCAUGAAGGAACACCA
rnacentral:lncRNA from 1 species